ACAAGAGUCACCUUUGCUCCAGUUUCCAGUAAGUUCCUCAUCUCCAUCUGAGACCAACUCAGCCUGGACCUUACUGUUCAUAUCAUCGUCAGCAUUUUUGUCAAAGCCAUUCAACAAAUCUCUAGGAGUUCCAAACUUUCCCACAUUUUUAUGUCUUGUGAGUCCUCCCAACUAUUCCAGCCUCUGCCUGUUAACCAGUUCCGAAGGAGUUCCCCGACCGCUUGUGCUUCCCAGAAGGAAGAAAUUUGGAUACAGAGACAGACAUGCACCAAGAGAAGAUGAUGUGAAGAAACACAGCAAGAAGACCAUGUGAAAAUGGAGGGCUGGAAUGAAGCAUCUACAAGCCAGGAAAUGUCUGAGGCUACCAGAAGCCAGGAGAGAGGCCUGGAACAGAUCCUGCACUAGAGCCUUUAAAGAGAGCAUGGUCCUGCUGACAUGUUGAUUUUGGACUUCUGGCCUCCAGAGCUGUGAGAAUAAAUUUCAGUUGUUUUAAGCCA